ACUCAAAUGAAUAGACGGGGGCCCGCACAAGCGGAGGAACAUGUGGUUUAAUUCGAUGAUACGCGAGGAACCUUACCCGGGCUUGAAAUAUACUUGAAUAUAGAUGAAAGUUUAUAGCCAGCAAUGGCAAGUAUGUAGGUGCUGCAUGGUUGUCGUCAGCUCGUGCCGUGAGGUGUCGGCUUAAGUGCCAUAACGAGCGCAACCCCUAUUGUUAGUUACUAACAGGUCAAGCUGAGGACUCUAACGAGACUGCCACCGUAAGGUGUGAGGAAGGUGGGGAUGACGUCAAAUCAGCACGGCCCUUACGUCCGGGGCGACACACGUGUUACAAUGGGAGGUACAGAGGGCAGCUACCUGGCGACAGGAUGCCAAUCUUUCAAAACCUUUCUCAGUUCGGAUCGGAGUCUGCAACUCGACUCCGUGAAGCUGGAUUCGCUAGUAAUCGCGCAUCAGCCAUGGCGCGGUGAAUACGUUCCCGGGCCUUGUACACACCGCCCGU
rnacentral:rRNA from 1 species